UACGAAGGGGGCGAGCGUUGUUCGGAAUUACUGGGCGUAAAGGGCGCGCAGGCGGCUCUGAAAGUCAGAUGUGAAAGCCCCGGGCUUAACCUGGGAAUUGCAUUUGAUACUUGAUGCUUGAGUACGGGAGAGGAGAGUGGAAUUCCUGGUGUAGCGGUGAAAUGCGCAGAUAUCAGGAGGAACACCGGUGGCGAAGGCGGGUCUCUGGGCCGAUACUGACGCUGAGGAGCGAAAGCGUGGGGAGCGAACAGG
rnacentral:rRNA from 1 species